UUAAGUUCAGCGGGUAUCCCUACCUGAUCCGAGGUCAAGCGUAAGAAGGUAGCCUUGUGGACGCCGCCGCACGCCGUGCAGAGCGCAAAAUGUGCUGCGCUCCCACACGGGACGGCUGGCUGCCAAUGCAUUUGAGGCGAGUUCACGCGCGCAGCGGAACAAACACCCAGCACCCAGCAACGCUGGAGGGUACAAAUGAC
rnacentral:misc_RNA from 1 species